GCUACAUAUUGUCUGAUUUCAUUUAUAUGAAAUGUCCAGAAUAAUCAAAUACAUAGAGACAGAAAGUAGAUUUGUGGUAGCCAGGGGCUGAGGAAUGACUGCUAAUGAAUAGGGGGUUUCUUUUAGGGAUGAUGAGAAUGUUCUAGAAUUAACAGCACUAGUAAUAAUGAUUUAACCAGGACUGUGGGAAGAUCAUAACCUCUCUGUUCCUUAAAGUUAAGAGGCAGAACUAGAAAAUCCUUACACUUCCUUCCAGCUCUAACCCAAGAUUCUGUGAUCUUUUCCUGUCUGCUAGGCAUUUCCACAUGGAUUUCUUACAUCACUCCACAUCAAUGUCUUCUGUGGAACCCCCAUACUCCUUACUUAUCUCCUUUGUUCUCCACGCAUUAUCUUUUGUUUUAGUCACCCAGGCCUGAAUCUUUAGGGUCAUCUUUGACUCUCCCCUCUCCAUAUUCCACCAAGUGUACUCAUUCUUCUUUCCUUUCCUUUCUUUUCCCACCAAAUGUGGGCUUUAUUACCAGACAUCUCUGCUCUAGCAAUACUCUCAUUAGUAAACUCUCGUCUUUGAGCAUCUCCAGUUCAUGCUCAAUCUGUCUCAUAUAGAGAGCUUAUCACAUUAUGUUUCCUGAAAUUCUGCUUCUAUUCACUCCCUCAAGUUUUCAAAGUCCUCAAGGUUUGGCACUGAAAGCCUUCUAAAACCUGUGCCCUAUCCACCUUCCCAAUUUUCUCUUUCACUACUACCUCACAUGGAUUUCAAUGCCAUCUCACCUGACACUACUCUAAACCCACCAAAUGCAAUCCUGCCUUUCUAACUUUGCUUACCUCCCUUCUUCUUCCUAGAGAGCCCUGCAUUCUUCUUUGCCUAACCCAAAUUACAUUUUCUCCUUUAAUAGAAUCUUCUAUUUAUCUUCAUGGGUUUUUGAUAACCCUAACUCACCCAUGGUGACCUUUCUCUUCUUUGAAUGCUUCUAGUACUUACAGCCUAGAAAACAUUUACUAGUCCUUCAAAGGUGGAUGAACACUUAGAUGCUUGCGAUACAAAGAUGAAUAAGAAAAUAAAAUUCCAGCCCUUAUGGAGAGCUCGCUGUUGAGUGAGUGAUAAAAGUAAACAAACACGGACAAAACAAAAUUUAAGCUAUGAGAGAAGAACA
rnacentral:lncRNA from 1 species